AGUUGGUGGAUUACUUUGUCUGGUUAAUUCCGAUAACGAACGAGACCUUAACCUGCUAAAUAGUCAUGUCUAUACUCGUCUUUGUGGCGGUGUAUAGAUAGAUGUACUUCUUAGAGGGACUAUCUGUGUUUAACAGAUGGAAGUUUGAGGCAAUAACAGGU
rnacentral:rRNA from 1 species